AUGCAAUGAUGAAGGCACUUUCAUAAUAACUCCUUGAUCGCUUCCAUGCCUCAUAUAAAAGUCUUCGUCAAGUUGCUGAAAUUUUGUAAUUUCAUUUCAGAGCUU
rfam:Gossypium hirsutum cultivar TM-1 chromosome 3, whole genome shotgun sequence